AUGAAAUAAGAAAUCUUGAGAAAAAAAUAUAUAGAGAAGAAAGAGUUAGGAAGAAAAUUUUAGAAGAGUAGAAAUUCUGGAGGGUUUUCGGAAGAACAAAUUCUGAGCAAGAGAUUGAGUCUCAAAUAUAGAAAGUGGUGAGACGCUGGUGGAACAGACGUGAUGGAAGAUCGGCUAGUGUUUAGCUCUUACGGACGAGAUCCCUGUUUUAGUCGUUUUAAGUUUGGAUUGUAUUAAGUUUACAAUUUAAGUGAUGGUUUGUAUAUUGAGAAAAACUUUUAUUUCUU